rnacentral:pre_miRNA from 1 species
GAUUUCAACUGGAAAAGUUAUCAACAACAAAGUUGAAUAACUCAUCAAGAUCUAAAACUUUUAUUUUGAUCAUUUUCUUCAUCCGACAAAGUGAUACUAACAUUGUUCGCAAAAUUAACGUAUCUCUUAUCUGGUUUUAUAAACUAUAACACAUAUAUGUAAAAUUUGUGAAUAAUAUUACUAACAGUUUAUCGGAUGAAGAAAUGACAAAAAUAAAAGUUUUAGAUCUUGAUGAGUUAUACAAUUUUGUUGUUGAUGACUUUUUCAAUUGAAAUC